rnacentral:tRNA from 1 species
UGGGGAUUAGUUUAAGUAUAGAAUAGCUGACUGUUAAUCAGAAGGUUUUAUCCUCAG